ensembl:ncRNA C04A2.8 ncRNA
CUAAACCUCUCGUCAGGCCGCCCGCCCGGGUGUCGUCGGCGCCUCCCCUCUCAUAUGUUUGCGAGUAAAAUUGCCCUACGUCGCAAAAAUAAACACCGAUUGUGUCGACGUCUUCGUCUCGAGGAGCGGAUGA